rnacentral:rRNA from 1 species
GACGAACGCUGGCGGCGUGCUUAACACAUGCAAGUCGAACGGAAAGGCCCUGCUUUUGUGGGGUGCUCGAGUGGCGAACGGGUGAGUAACACGUGAGUAACCUGCCCUUGACUUUGGGAUAACUUCAGGAAACUGGGGCUAAUACCGGAUAGGAGCUCCUGCUGCAUGGUGGGGGUUGGAAAGUUUCGGCGGUUGGGGAUGGACUCGCGGCUUAUCAGCUUGUUGGUGGGGUAGUGGCUUACCAAGGCUUUGACGGGUAGCCGGCCUGAGAGGGUGACCGGCCACCUUGCGCCUGCGAUACGGCCCAGACUCCUACGUGAGGCAGCAGUGGGGAAUAUUGCACAAUGGGCGGAAGCCUGAUGCAGCAACGCCGCGUGCGUGAUGACGUCCUUCGGGUUGUAAACCGCUUUCGCCUGUGACGAAGCGUGAGUGACGGUAAUGGGUAAAGAAGCACCGGCUAACUACGUG